UUUUUGAUUAAUAAUUUAAAGUCUAAUCUGCCCACUGAUGAUAUAUUAAAGGGCUGCAGUAUUUUGACUGUACAAAGGUAGCAUAAUCAAUAGUCUCUUAAUUGGUGACUUGUAUGAAAGAUUUAAUGAGAUAUAUACUGUCUCUUUUUAAUUUAUAAAAUUUAAUUUUUUAGUUAAAAAGCUAAAAUAUAUUUAAAAGACGAGAAGACCCUAUAGAGUUUGAUAUUUAAUUAAAUUAAAAUUAUUUAUAAAAUUUAAAAUUUUAAUUUAAAUAAAUAUUUUGUUGGGGUGAUAAAAAAAUUAAAAGAACUUUUUUUAUAAUUUUACAUUAAUAAGUGAAUAAAUGAUCCGUAAUUUACGAUUAAAAGAAUAAAUUACCUUAGGGAUAACAGCGUAAUUUUUUUUUUUAGUUCAAAUAAGAAAAAAAGUUUGCGACCUCGAUGUUGGAUUAAGAUAAAAUUUAAAUGCAAAAGUUUAAAAUUUUUGAUCUGUUCGAUCAUUAAAAUCUUACA
rnacentral:rRNA from 2 species